GCGCCGUUAGCUCAACUGGAUAGAGUAUUCGGCUACGAACCGAAAGGUUGCAGGUUCAACUCCUGCACGGCGCG
rfam:Elusimicrobia bacterium RIFOXYD2_FTLL_34_15 rifoxyd2_full_scaffold_165, whole genome shotgun sequence.